UACGUAGGCAGCAAGCGUUGUUCGGAAUUAUUGGGCGUAAAGGGCGCGUAGGCGGCUGGGCAAGUCAAAGGUGAAAUCCCUCGGCUCAACUGAGGAACUGCCUUUGAAACUGCCUGGCUUGAGGCCGGGAGGGGGUAGCGGAAUUCCCAGUGUAGCGGUGAAAUGCGUAGAUAUUGGGAGGAACACCAGUGGCGAAGGCGGCUACCUGGACCGGUUCUGACGCUGAUGCGCGAAAGCGUGGGUAGCAAACAGG
rnacentral:rRNA from 1 species